AUUGAACGCUGGCGGCAGGCUUAACACAUGCAAGUCGAGCGGGGUGAUGGUGCUUGCACUAUCACUUAGCGGCGGACGGGUGAGUAAUGCUUAGGAAUCUGCCUAUUAGUGGGGGACAACAUCUCGAAAGGGAUGCUAAUACCGCAUACGUCCUACGGGAGAAAGCAGGGGAUCACUUGUGACCUUGCGCUAAUAGAUGAGCCUAAGUCGGAUUAGCUAGUUGGUGGGGUAAAGGCCUACCAAGACGACGAUCUGUAGCGGGUCUGAGAGGAUGAGCCGCCACACUGGGACUGAGGAACGGCCCAGACUCCUACGGGAGGCAGCAGUGGGGAAUAUUGGACAAUGGGGGAAACCUGAUCCAGCCAGGCCGCGUGUGUGAAGAAGGCCUUAUGGUUGUAAAGCACUUUAAGCGAGGAGGAGGCUCUUUUGGUUAAUACCCAAGAUGAGUGGACGUUACUCGCAGAAUAAGCACCGGCUAACUCUGUGCCAGCCGCCGCCGUAA
rnacentral:rRNA from 1 species